AAAAGUAUUGGCUGAGGACCGCAAAUUUAGAGUCCGGCUACUAUAUUAUCAAUAUUACCACGUUUUUGGUACUAUCAAAUUUUCUACCAUUAGAUCUUACCGUUUAAUUAUUUUCAUCCAUUAUAUUAUACUAUUUGACCAACCACUCACUCAACUAUAGGAGACCACUAUCAUCCUAACCGUAUAUCCUUUCAUCUAACGGUUGAAAACUCGAUAUUGCAGAUAAUUUUAUAUAUAGAGAGCGAGUCAUGAGUUUCUCUGUUUUAAUUUUAAAAAUACAGGAGCUCAUGUGUUUGUCACUUUUUAGACUUAUUAACAGACUUACGGGACACAUUAUUUAUAGUACUGCAUGGAUAUUAAGAUGAUCAUGACUAAAAAAGUGUACAAUUG
rnacentral:lncRNA from 1 species